AACUGUGCAAUAACAAGAAAAGUAGCUGAAAUUGUUGACUUGCUCACCGAGCUGGCUUAUUUUUGUUCAGAUGUUUUUCGCCAUGCUAGGUGACAUCAUCAGUGAGCCCUCCAAUGAAGCAAUAUUGUUCUACUCUGCUGGGAAUUUGUACUGUCUGGUCCGUUGUGGAUCUGAAUUACUUGAAGAUGUCAGAGAACCUGGAGGUGUUUUCCUUACACCAGAGAUGAUUAAGGUGGCAUGAAGUUAACAUUCGGUGGAACUUUUCACAGCGGGCAGUCAACCUCUCAAGUAAGAGCUCAGCGAUUGCAAUGAGUGCGGACUUACUGCAUACAUUCGAAAGGGAG